AGAGUUUGAUCCUGGCUCAGGAUGAACGCUAGCUACAGGCUUAACACAUGCAAGUCGAGGGGCAGCGGAAGGGAGCUUGCUUCCUUUGCCGGCGACCGGCGCACGGGUGAGUAACGCGUAUCCAACCUUCCCCUUAGUAGAGGAUAGCCCGGCGAAAGUCGGAUUAAUACUCUAUGUUCUUCUUUGAUGACAUCUGAUAUGAAGCAAAGGCUUGCCGCUAAGGGAUGGGGAUGCGUCUGAUUAGGUAGUCGGCGGGGUAACGGCCCACCGAGCCUGCGAUCAGUAGGGGUUCUGAGAGGAAGGUCCCCCACAUUGGAACUGAGACACGGUCCAAACUCCUACGGGAGGCAGCAGUGAGGAAUAUUGGUCAAUGGGCGCGAGCCUGAACCAGCCAAGUAGCGUGCGGGAUGACGGCCCUACGGGUUGUAAACCGCUUUUAUAUGGGGAUAAAGUCGCCUACGUGUAGGUGUUUGUAGGUACCAUAUGAAUAAGGACCGGCUAAUUCCGUGCC
rnacentral:rRNA from 1 species